AACCUUUGCUGUCUUGGGACGGAUCACCGCUGCAAGAGGGGAAGUUGCUACUGUGAUGAAUUCUGCCAUGUGGCACCAGACUGCCACCCAGACCACAGUGUCCUCUGCAACCCUGCUUCUCAGAUGACCAAGAUGGUGCUGCAGAUGGUGCUGAGGAUGGAGAACCCACCAAGCCCCGCUAGGAGCCACCUAGACUGGAUGCAGAGCAUGGUGAAAAUGGAGGUUUCCUCCUCCUGCGGCUGAGUGUGGCUUCCCCGGAAGACCUCACUGACCCCAGAGUGGCAGAAAGGCUGAUGCAGCAGCUCCACCGGGAACUCCACGCCCACGCGCCUCACUUCCAGGUCUCCUUACUGCGUGUCAGGAGAGGCUAACGGACAUCAGCUGCAGCCAGGCAUGUCCCGUAUGCCAAAAGAGGGUGCUGCCCCUAGCCUGGGCCCCCACCGACAGACUGCAGCUGCGUUACUGUGCUGAGAGGUACCCAGAAGGUUCCCAUGAAGGGCAGCAUGUCCAAGCCCCUAACCCCAGAUGUGGCAACAGGACCCUCGCUCACAUCCACCGGAGUGUAUGUAUGGGGAGGGGCUUCACCUGUUCCCAGAGGUGUCCUUGGACUCACCUUGGCACAUGUUCUGUGUUUCAGUAAAGAGAGACCUGAUCACCCAUCUGUGUGCUUCCAUCCUGCAUUAAAAUUCACUCAGUGUGGCCCA
rnacentral:misc_RNA from 1 species